rnacentral:lncRNA from 1 species
CCAGAAGGAGGGUCUGGUGUUGCAGGGGAGGAGGGGCACGCAGGUGGGCCCUGAGCUGGCCAGGGUGCCUCCCUAGUAUUCAGUGUAGUGCUAGGCAAGUGCUCCACCUCUGAGCUCCAGUGACCUGGGAUUACAGCGCUGGACACAUCAGCGCUUCUUGCAGCCCAGGAAACCCUGACGGGACACCUGCCUAGGGGAAGAGGAGGAGCUGCCCACUGACAGGGGUUCCCACCAAGCUCUGCCCCCAUCAAGGGCCUGCCCAGAGCAGGGUGGGGAGUCCAGUCUUUUCUUUCAGGCCUGAGCUCUGAGAAGUGGUUGCAAAGCAAGGGGCCUGCCUCCACUCCCGCCCACCACUGCCCUUGGCGCCCAGGACCAGGAUACCCAGCUUCACCUUCUGGCUGACAGCUCCCAAGUUUGUAGCCACUGCCUCAGGACUCUGACUCCUACCUACCAUGCUGUGGGGUGCAGGGGAGAGCCACUGGGCUUGGAUAGGGGGUGUCCUCGGGGCUCUGGGUCUUUACUAAAGGUACAGUAACAGCCCUCUGCGGGCGCUGAACACAAGUCUGCUAAAUGUGAAUUCCCCGCUAAAUGUGCGACACGUUUUUAUAUAAAAAAUUGUUUUCAGAAAUUCACAUUUAGCCCAAGUCUGUAUUUGCAUUUGCUAAAACUGGCCUUGAGCCUGCCAGGCUGAGGGGAGGAGCAGAGAGCUGAGGGCCAAGGAGGCCGC